UCUUACUUGACCUUUUCUCAAAUGUAGGUGUUGCUAGAAAAAGGGUGGUGGCCCCCACCACUGAAUCAGGUCACAAGGCCAUCAUCACAUCCUUGGUAAACUGCCCGAAUGCUGGUUCCCUCACCAGACUGGUCUGUCCCUGGAUUCAUCUGAGUGAAAGUUAAGAAUCUCCCAGAGACACUCUGUGCAUGAGCAGAGGACACGGUGUUACCUGAAUACAAGAGCCGAUAGGAAACCAAAUGGUCCAUCAGGAGUUAUUUGAGGACAUUCGAGGCGA